rnacentral:rRNA from 1 species
UACGUAGGAUGCAAGCGUUGUCCGGAUUUAUUGGGUUUAAAGGGUGCGUAGGCGGCCUAUUAAGUUAGUGGUGAAAACGUUCGGCUUAACCGGAUACCCGCCAUUGAUACUGAUGGACUUGAGUGCGACAGAGGGUGUUGGAAUGUGUGGUGUAGCGGUGAAAUGCUUAGAUAUCACGCAGAACACCAAUUGCGAAGGCAGAUGCCUAUGUCGUAACUGACGCUGAGGCGCGAAAGCGUCGGGAGCAAACAGG